CCAUUCCGUGUUACGCCGCGCACACACUAGGUCACGUGUAAAGAGCGCGCGUGCGACGAUCCUGUUCCUGAUCCAGAAGGUCCUGUCACCCGGGCAAGAGCUAGAGAACGCCCGCGCUCAUCGUCGAUAUAUUCACCACUUCGACGUAAGUCCAUGAACUUGCCGCCGUUUGUUUGCCCUCAUGCAUGCUUGUGAUCUCAUCCCGUUUCCAAAUUUGAAAAUCCUCAUGGUAACCAGGACGAAAAAAAUAUUUGUAGGCGGUCUUUCGGCGCCGACAACCCUAGAAGACGUUAAGAGUUACUUCGAACAAUUUGGGCCGAUUGAAGAUGCGAUGCUUAUGUUCGACAAACAAACGAAUCGACACAGAGGUUUCGGAUUUGUCACAUUUCAAAGUGAAGAUGUUGUAGAUAAAGUUUGUGAAAUACACUUCCACGAGAUUAACAAUAAAAUGGUGGAAUGCAAGAAAGCACAACCAAAAGAAGUAAUGUUACCCGCCAACCUAGCCAAAACAAGGGCGGCAGGGCGCGGUACAUACGAUUUUAUGUGGUCACUUGGAGCUCUUCCGGACGAACACGCACAUCUUCAUGUACCAGCUGAAACCUUCAUGGAAAACAUUAGUUCUAAGCAGUUCGCAGCAGGUUUUCCGGCAGCCGCGUACGCGGCCUACGCCGCCGGUCGAGGUUACUCGGGCUAUCCUAGUUUCGGACUACCGUACCCAACAGUGGACCUAACCAAUGGGCAGCUCACACCUAAUAAUAAUACUCCACUGUUGACUCAGGCCUUGUCAGUAAUGAAUAAUUAUCAAGCCGCUGCAGCUGCUGCACAAGGAUUUGGUCCCCCAGCCUCUCCUCAUACGGCGGCUAAUACUCGUGGUGGUUUUCCAACGUCAGCUAAUUCUCCAGGUCCUACUAUAGAUAUGUACAGCAGCAGCGCAGGUGAUAAUGUGGGCUACGUGCAGGCCACGAGCCCGCAACCGUCUGGAUUUCCAGCGAUUGCAGUCAGUCGAGCGCCCCUCAACUACAGUCCGGCCAACUUCGGGGGCUGUUACAUUUUGUCUGAAUAACAAUCAUUAUUGGACAUCCUUACGAUGGCCUCACGUUUCGUCCUCAGAACUUAAGGGCCCUCUAAUUCCCGCUGCGUUCACCAACGGCUACCAUUGAGCUCGAGAACUGCAUAGUGUUGUUGUGUAAAUCAACGCGGCAGCUACUGUGAUUUUUUAUCACAUCUGCACUGUACAUUCACUUUUAUGUAUAUUAAUUAAUAAUGUAGCACCCCGCCAGGCGCGGUCCACUUGUUGUAUAAUGUUUGGUGUAAACGCGCCGCUUCGCCGCUUCUAUUACGGUGGCCGACGAGUGAUUGUAAAUUGAAUCCGAUCAGUUUUUUAUAUAAUGGAAACAAAAUCGAUCUCAAGGAGUAAAAUAGUUAAUUUUUUAGGUAACGUUAGUAGUCGUUUUGAUUUUGAAAUAUUUAUUAACCUCGACGGCCGUCGAAUACGCGGCUUUUCCUUCCUCAAAAAAACUCCUUCCCCGUUUCCCCCCGUCCCCCACCAAACACAGGCACUUAUUGUUUACAUCUUAAUUUUAUUAUUAUAUAUAUAUUUAUUACAUAUAAUGUAUUACAGGGUAUCUGAAAUGGGAUACAUUAUCCUCACAUAUUAUUAUUAAGGACCAAGAAGGCAAUGGGGUUUGACGCAUUGCCAUAUGGUAUAUUAUUAUUAUUAAUUAAUUUAAUAAUUUUAAUGUGUUGACGUUUGAUUCGAUAUAGUUGUUUUUAUAUGAAAUUUUAAUUUCGUUUUUAUUUUUAAUUAUAUUCGCUACGAUGAUGAUAAGGAAGAUGUCUGACACAAUGUGCGAGUUUUAAGCGAUAUUUAAUGUAUACAACCAUUUAUGGGUAACUUAAGAAAUUUGUAUAUAAAUUAUUGUUGUUAGGUGCGGCGGAUCGGGCUCGGCCGGAUUGAAGUGUGGGCCGAGAUUCGAUCCGUCGGCCGGUCUGUGUAGCUUGUAGUGUCACAGCGUACUCCUCAUAACUCUAGAUCUGUCUUUAAAUGAAGAAAACCAUGUCUAUUUGUUAGGCAUAUAAUCAGAUCAAUUUUAAGAUAUAUAUUAUAUAAAUGUUUCCCGUUACUAAAUGAAUAUUCUAUAUAUUCUGCGGCGGGCCGAAGCGGUCAGUCACGUAGAUUAAAUUAGCAAAUUGUUGUCUCGGCCCUCCCGUUUUUUUUUGGUAUUUGACUGUUGAUCCGACCGCUUCGGCCGCCGAAAAUUUCUAUAUUUAAAAAAAAAGGAAAAACACUCUCCUCUAUCUCUGUGUGAGUUAUACUAUAUAAGGUGUGUUAUGAUUUUUAUUGUUUUCUGUUGUAUAUUUUGCCAUUUGGCUUGUUAUAUGAAUUGUUGUCUGACUGAACGCAUCUGCUUAUCUCCUCAGUACAAAAUACACCAUAUAAUAAUUGUAAAUUAAUAGGUCGAAUGUAGGAAAGAAAAAAACAAUGGGAAGAUUAGCUAUCCGAAUUGUCGCAACGAUUGAUCGUAGUUGAAGUAUUUAUUAUAUUAGGUAGACGCGCGUUUCCGUGAAACCGCGUGAUUUAUUUAUUAUAAAACCUCGUUACCGUCGAGGUUGGGCGAUUUGGUGGUAGAUGCCAUUGUGUAUAUAAUUACGGAAGGAGGGUAGUGGCGAUGGAGGCGCCGCCGAGAUUGUCACGAUCCGGCGCAACCCUCCCGUCCGAAGGCAAGAACUGACCAAAGGUAUAAAAAUGUCAAUACUAAUGUCAAUACAGUGACUGCGUUUUAAUUUUUUUGGUAAAUGCCGAUGUACAUGUAUUCUAACGUCAAUCCAGAGCAAUACGGUAUUUGUAGGUAGUUAAAUCCAAAAUAAGUUUGAUUUAUAUUUUUUGAUAUCAAAAUGUGUUAUAUUGCAUUAAGUGGUAGAGUAAUUAGAAAAAGACACCAGGCAAGCUUUAAUCACGCAGACGCCGUCUGUCCCGGCGAGGGCGUUUACCGUCGCCGGCGACCUUAGUUCGUGUAUUCCAUGUAUUCUCUGCUCGUAUUCAAUAUUUAAUCGUAUUUCAGUCAUCUGUUCGUUAUCGUAUGUAAGUGUACCUAGUUAUGCAAAAACAAAAAAAAAACUAAUAAAUAUUGUACUGGCUUGUACUAUGUGCGUUAACGUCUGCGAGCGGCGGACGGCGUCGCGGCGGCGGGCCCGCGCGGCCUGCACAUUCCAGCGCACCGCCCUCAAAAAACCUCUCAUGCAUCAGCCACCUCAACCCACCCACAUAUCAAAAAAAAGACGUGGCCAUCGCGGGCCGUGCCGCCGCCGGGCCUAUCCUUAGCUAGAAGUUAAUUCGUCGUUUGUAAAAUUAUUUCCCAAACGGAAUAUGUAUCUCGACAAUAUUAAUUCACACUGUGAAUGUUUUCAGUUGUAUAAUUCAAACUAUAUAUCGUGGGCCUUACUAUACACUGAAAAUUAAACGUGCUGUCCAAAAUUUAUGAUUACAUUAUUUUUUUUAAUCGUGCAAGCGUAUAGUUUGGACUUCGCGCCUUAGUUUAGACACGCGCGCGGUUCACCAUUUUGUAUACUUAAAGGAGCGCGUUGCGCCGUUCUGUUGUGUUACUUUCAUACGUAUGUUAGGAUUACGUUGAAUGUAUACAAGCUGUAUAUAUACAUACUCUAUUAUAAUUUAGCGGUAGCAAAGUGGUACGGAGCCACCACAAUUUGUUAAGGCAUCCGCCCUAUCCCUGUGUUGCAACCCUAUCCCUGUCUGGUCCACCUAAACCGAAAGGCGCGCCGAGGCUAGUUUCGGUCCUUCCCGCCGGAUACGCGCGAACGUCCAACCGACCUCGUCGCGCCUUUCGCCUCCCGUUAAGAUAAUUCAUUGUAUUUACAGCCAAGUGGCUUCUGCAAUAAAAAAGCAAUAACCAUUUCCUUCUGUGGACGCUUGACUUAAAUAAGAAUAUUAUAUUAUUAAUAUUAACAAUGUACUAUAAGUACGUACUUUAAUGAUCAAGAUUUUACACUAUGAUAAUAAUGAUGGCGACGCUAAUUUGAAGAUUGUACAGAUAGUUUGUAAAACAAAAACAAAAUGUUGUUAGCAAUGGCGGAAUUUUCCUGGCCAAUGCUAUGAUCUCGGUUUUGAAUCCGAGUUAUUCAUGUAUAUCUUACACGUUCUACAAUGUAAAUAAAUAUAAUUAUUACAAUGAUAAGAAAAGGUUCACAACGUGCCGGUGUAUGUGGGAAAUAAAAUAUAAUGGACAUUGUUCAAAACAAAUA